rnacentral:rRNA from 1 species
UUCGGGGAGAGUGGCAGACGGGUGAGUAACGCGUGGGAACCUUCCCAGUGGUGCGGAAUAGCCCAGGGAAACUUGGGGUAAUACCGCAUAAGCCCUUCGGGGGAAAGAUUUAUCGCCAUUGGAUGGGCCCGCGUCGGAUUAGCUAGUUGGUGAGGUAAUGGCUCACCAAGGCGACGAUCCGUAGCUGGUCUGAGAGGAUGAUCAGCCACACUGGGACUGAGACACGGCCCAGACUCCUACGGGAGGCAGCAGUGGGGAAUAUUGGACAAUGGGCGCAAGCCUGAUCCAGCCAUGCCGCGUGAGUGACGAAGGCCUUAGGGUUGUAAAGCUCUUUUGGCGGGGACGAUAAUGACGGUACCCGCAGAAUAAGCUCCGGCUAACUUCGUGCCAGCAGCCGCGGUAAUACGAAGGGAGCUAGCGUUGUUCGGAAUCACUGGGCGUAAAGCGCACGUAGGCGGAUUUGUUAGUCAGGGGUGAAAUCCCGGGGCUCAACCUCGGAACUGCCUUUGAUACUGCAAAUCUCGAGUCCGAGAGAGGUGGGUGGAAUUCCUAGUGUAGAGGUGAAAUUCGUAGAUAUUAGGAAGAACACCGGUGGCGAAGGCGGCCCACUGGCUCGGUACUGACGCUGAGGUGCGAAAGCGUGGG